AUGAAGAAAUUCCUACAUACUUCUGUUACAGUUGGAACAGGGGGGCCGCGACCUGAAGAUCGGAGCCUCCGAGAAGUAAACUACCGAGUGUGUGUCGCACAGGGAGCGGUGGAGGGGAGGGGACAAGGCCGCGGUCUUGUUGUGUGCGAUUCAAAUGAACAGGGAGAAGAGCUGCACGUUUGUCUCCAUCACCCUGUGGGGGUGGGGGGUUCUCUCCAUCGUCUCAAUGCAGCCGGGGGAAAAAAUACACAGCGGCGAAGGUCGUGUACCAUUAGUGCCUAAUGGACUGGAGUCACGAGACACCAACGUGCAUUAAGCCCAGGAGAAAUCCUCUUCCUCUUCAGCAUGAGAUCCGCCACGAGCCGAGAAUUAAUCAGCAGUGAAAGGUUAAAGAAAUAUUGGAUCUAUUUUCCAGGAGGCCGAUCUGGCUCCUAGAAAUUAGCUCUCAGGGCAAAACGUGCGAUCUGAUCGUCGCACAGCGAGACUCAAUCCAAACCAGAAGUAUAACCAGAGAUACACAGAUUGUCAAAGAUGCGUUCACUUGUCCCUGGAACACCCUCCACAGCCCCCUUAACCACAUGUUCUAAACUCGAACGAAACCUCUCGUCCGGGACAAAGUUUGUUCUCGACCUCGAUGAAUCCAACAGAAAUCACGCAGCAGUCACGAGGCAUUCGCAAAAAAUAAUAUCUCUGUAAACGGAUCAGAGGCAAUUCUGUCUCUCUCUUCUGAUUCAAACCACAAAUAUGUAACCGUUUGUCAUCCCACUUCAGUCCCACAGUCACAUGAACACGUGCACAUUUCGUGAGCCUGUGGCAAAAACGAACCAACAAACAAACAAUCCAAAAAAACAAGCUCGCAUUUAUUGUCUAUGUGCGAACAGUUAAUCCCGAGUAAUCGUGUUAUGCAUCGGUUACAUCGCCUGCUCCCGAGCAAACACACGCCCGCAAGGGACUAUUAUACAUAUUCAAGAGACUAGAUCCGCGCGUGUUCAGAGCUGCAGCCCCCCUGACAGAAGAGGCCCCUCCUCGCUUGUGUGGCCUCGUGUGCGUGAUGACGAUGCCCCGGGAAAAACUGCGAGGACGACUGGCUGGUGGAAUUAAUGUGGAUCCACAACUUU
rnacentral:lncRNA from 1 species